rnacentral:siRNA from 1 species
CAGGGGGUCGAGUGGUCUGCU